rnacentral:rRNA from 1 species
UCCUACGGGGCGCAGCAGUGAGGAAUAUUGGUCAAUGGUCGGGAGACUGAACCAGCCAAGCCGCGUGAGGGAGGAAGGUACAGAGUAUCGUAAACCACUUUUGUAGAGAACGAAAAGACACCUUCGAAUAAAGGGUGUUGCUGACGGUACUCUAAGAAUAAGCACCGGCUAACUACGUGCCAGCAGCCGCGGUAAUACGUAGGGUGCGAGCGUUAAUCGGAAUUACUGGGUGUAAAGGGUGCGCAGGCGGCUGAGUAAGACAGAUGUGAAAUCCCCGAGCUUAACUCGGGAAUUGCAUUU